rnacentral:rRNA from 1 species
UACGUAGGUGGCGAGCGUUGUCCGGAUUUACUGGGCGUAAAGGGAGCGUAGGCGGACUUUUAAGUGAGAUGUGAAAUACCCGGGCUCAACUUGGGUGCUGCAUUUCAAACUGGAAGUCUAGAGUGCAGAAGAGGUAGGCGGAAUUCGUUGUGUAGCGGUGAAAUGCGUAGAUAUAACGAAGAACACCAAUUGCGUAGGCAGCUUACCAUACUGCAACUGACGCUGAGGCACGAAAGUGUGGGUAUCAAACAGGAUUAGAUACCCU